rnacentral:rRNA from 1 species
ACGGGAGGCAGCAGUGAGGAAUAUUGGUCAAUGGGCGAGAGCCUGAACCAGCCAAGUAGCGUGCAGGAUGACGGCCCUAUGGGUUGUAAACUGCUUUUAGGCGGGGAUAAAAGACGUCACGUGUGAUGUUUUGCAGGUACCGCAUGAAUAAGGACCGGCUAAUUCCGUGCCAGCAGCCGCGGUAAUACGGAAGGUCCGGGCGUUAUCCGGAUUUAUUGGGUUUAAAGGGAGCGUAGGCCGGACUUUAAGCGUGUUGUGAAAUGUAGUCGCUCAACGGGUGCACUGCAGCGCGAACUGGAGUCCUUGAGUGCGCGGGAAGUUGGCGGAAUUUGUCGUGUAGCGGUGAAAUGCUUAGAUAUGACGAAGAACUCCGAUUGCGAAGGCAGCUUACUGUAGCGCUACUGACGCUAAAGCUCGAAAGUGUGGGUAUCGAACAGGAUUAGAUACCCUGGUA